AUUGAACGCUGGCGGAAUGCUUUACACAUGCAAGUCGAGCGGCAGCGCGGGGGCAACCCUGGCGGCGAGCGGCGAACGGGUGAGUAAUACAUCGGAACAUGUCCAGUUGUGGGGGAUAGCCCGGCGAAAGCCGGAUUAAUACCGCAUGAGCUCUGGCGAGGAAAGCGGGGGACCCGUAAGGGCCUCGCGCGACUGGGUUGGCCGAUGUCCGAUUAGCUAGUUGGGGGGUAAAGGCUCACCAAGGCGAUGAUCGGUAGCUGGUCUGAGAGGAUGAUCAGCCACACUGGGACUGAGACACGGCCCAGACUCCUACGGGAGGCAGC
rnacentral:rRNA from 1 species